rnacentral:rRNA from 1 species
GUACCUACGGGAGGCAGCAGUGGGGAAUAUUGCACAAUGGGGGAAACCCUGAUGCAGCAACGCCGCGUGAGUGAAGAAGUAUUUCGGUAUGUAAAGCUCUAUCAGCAGGGAAGAAGAUGACGGUACCUGAAUAAGAAGCCCCGGCUAACUACGUGCCAGCAGCCGCGGUAAUACGUAGGGGGCAAGCGUUAUCCGGAUUCACUGGGUGUAAAGGGAGCGUAGACGGCGAGACAAGUCUGGAGUGAAAGGCCGGGGCCCAACCCCGGGACUGCUCUGGAAACUGCCUGGCUGGAGUACAGGAGAGG